rnacentral:rRNA from 1 species
UGAGUGAAGAAGUAUUUCGGUAUGUAAAGCUCUAUCAGCAGGGAAGAAAAUGACGGUACCUGACUAAGAAGCCCCGGCUAACUACGUGCCAGCAGCCGCGGUAAUACGUAGGGGGCAAGCGUUAUCCGGAUUUACUGGGUGUAAAGGGAGCGUAGGCGGUUUGGCAAGUCAGAAGUGAAAGCCCAAGGCUUAACCAUGGGACUGCUUUUGAAACUGUCAGACUAGAUUGCAGGAGAGGUAAGUGGAAUUCCUGGUGUAGCGGUGAAAUGCGUAGAUAUCAGGAGGAUCACCGGUGGCGAAGGCGGCUUACUGGACUGUAAAUGACGCUGAGGCUCGAAAGCGUGGGGAGCAAACAGGAUUAGAUACCCUGGUAGUCCACGCGGUAAACGAUGAAUACUAGAUGUUGGGGAGCGAAGCUCUUCGGAGUCGCAGCAAAC